rnacentral:tRNA from 1 species
AUUUAAAUAGCUUAUAAAGAGCAUAAUAUUGAAGAUAUUAAGGAAAUUUUUUUAAAAUUUUUAAAUA